GUUACUGCAAUGAAUGAAGAAGACGCUGCAGGGGGCCGCGAUCACUCUGAAGCCGCCUCGCCGCCAUCUUGGAAGCCUCCCAUCAUCCCCCACGCUACCCCCUGCCUGGCCUAGAGCAAAGUUCCCUUCGCAGGUGACUGGGGCCGGCGUCCCCGCGGGGGGGGGAAGUGGAAAAUGAAAGAGCGACAGCCUCACGCACCAAUCAGAAAGGAGUUCCGCCCGCUGCCCAAACCAGCUAGCGAAGCAGCAGGCUUUGGGGCGGUGUCACCGUUCAGACAAACACAAGCUUGGUUGAGGAAACACAAAUUCAUCCAGACGCUCGCUUCACCGCGCUCCGCCUCCUCUCGGGAAGAUGGCUGUCAGGUCCUAGUGCCCCUUGGGUCGCUGUCAAGCCCCGGCCGGUCUGCCAGCUUCCGCCUGUCGAAUGGUGGGGGCGCCUCAUGGCCUGCGGCGCUCCACGCCCAGCAGGCUCCAGCGGGAUGCAGAAGGGUCGGGCUCACGUAGAGCAGGUCCAUAGGGCAGCAGGCCCUAGCUCCGUGGGGACAGGGCACGCAGAGCAACCUCCAGGUCUGUCCACUCCCAGCUCUUGGGCUCCAGUUGCUACUUGGGCUCCGGUCCCGAGGCUUUGUCCGUUAACGCUCACCAACAGCUGUGAAGUUAAUGCAUAUUAAACCCUGGGUCUGGCUAGCCCACUACAAAAGCAGUUUCUCCUCCGUUGGUGUUCACACCUCAACUGCUAGAAGAGGGCCUCAUCCUGGCUGAUUGAACUAACCUCCUUAUCCCUUGCCUCAUUCUUGCUUGCAUAUUUAUACCUGCCUCUGGAAAUUUCCACUACAUGCAUCCGAUGAAGUGGGUAUUCACCCACGAAAGCUCAGGCGCCAAUAUGUCUGGUAAUCUAUAAGGUGCAGCUUUUAUAGAUCCCGACUAACACGGCUACCCCUCUGAUAUUAAACCCUGGUGUGGCGUGUGGACACUCCCAUUCAGAAGUGAAGUGGACUUCAUUCACAUUAACUUAAGGGAUUCAGAUAAAGCAAACUAAGGUCUGGUCUACAUCUAAAAUUUAGGUUAACUUAGUGAUGUUGCUCAGGGCUGUGAACAGUUUUGUGCUCUGAACUUUUUAGUUAGAUCAACCCAACCCCUGGUCUAGACACAUCUAGGACAGUGGAAGGAUUCUUCCAUCAACCAAGCUCUGCCAUCUCUUGCAGAAGUGAAUUAUCUACGUGAGUGGUUCUUAAAAAAAAAAAUUUACAUGGAUCGAGGAAGCAUAUACGCUACAGCACUGUAGUGGCAUACCUGUGCUGCUGUAGUGCAGACAUAUCCUAAGAUUGAAUUGAAUGACAGUAUCCCUGGAGGUUUAAUGUUCUUCAGAAACUUCAGAUCAUCUUUAAGGUCCUGAGUAUCCCUCCAUUAACAAGCCCUAAUGCAGCUAAACUGGUUCCACCCUUGCAAGGUAUGACGAACUGUUUUUAAACUGUUUUAGUUAAAUUGGGACAACAUACAUUCACCCAAGGCCUAAGGUAUAGACAUCUCACAGGGUAUAUCUGCACCGUAAGCACUACAGUGGCAUAACUGCAGCUACUUCGCUGUAGCACUGUAAUGUAGACACUUGCUAAAGCACUGGAAGGGGGUUUUCUGUUACUGCGGUAAAUCCACCCCCAGGGAAGGCAGGAGUUAAGUUGAUAGAAUAAUUCUUCCAUUGAGCUAGUGGUAUCAAUAACAGAUCUUAGGACAGCUUAACUGGGUCUCUGAGGGGUGUGAGUGACGUAGCUAGGUUGACCUAAGUUUUAAGAACAGACCAGGAGAUGGAGAUAAGGGAUAGCAGUAUAAGCGGAGCUCUGUGCUCUAUCUUCCCCUUUAAAGGAAAAUAUCCAUGAAGUAAAACAUUCUACAUCCCUAAAAAUCCUUUCACUUUUUUCAGAUUCACUUUUCAUCAAUCCUUUCAUUCGCUUCCUGCUUGAAAGCAGGAGCUGGGCACACUCUACUGAUUAUGGUGGACCAGACAAGCUGAGCUCAGACAUUGCCAUAGAGGAGAAAGCAGCUGUUCCUGUGGGACUACACCCACCAAAUGCAAUCAUGUCAGUCCUUUGUCUCCUCCUCUAAGGGUUCAGGUAGCUGGAGGAGAGGACCAGACUGUGCUUAACACUUACAGAAACUGAGUGGGGAGAAAGGGAGGCUUGACUUCUCUUUGACCACAGAGACAACAAUCAUUUGAUCUCAGAAAGACACUUCUGAAAAGCAGUUUUUCUUUGGAAUCAACAGGCACAGAUACUUUUUUAGUUACACCACAAGGUCCAAAUUCUGCAGGAGUGCCUGAGCACAGGUCCCACUGAAGUCAAUGGAAGCCUUGCAUGCAUCUUGCCUUGUUUUCCCAACUUAGGGUAACAAACCUUGUGGAUGGGGGCAGGGAGAAGCAGUCGAUACCGUCUCCCAUGACCUUCUCAGAAACAAACUAGGGAAAUGCAACCUAGAUGGAGCUACUAUAAGGAACGAAGAGUGUAAGUCACCUUUUCCCCGUGUUCAAGGAGUUGCAAACACAAGUAGAGAUCUCACAGUACUCACCUCUCCAAAUCCUCCUUUGCCUAGUACUCGAGCCCUGUUUGUUUCUGUUUCUUCCCUCUUUUCCUAUAUAACUUCCAUGACCACCAGACUACCCAAUGCCUUUCCUUCAGCUGAGUGGAUGAAAGGAUUAGAAUACAAACUGAAUACCAAAGGAAAGCUGCUGCCAUUGCGGCCUUGAGGAGUUUCCCCUCCACACCUGUGGAAUGCCUGAAGAAGAGAACGAUUUGGGAUGACUUAGUCGGCAAGAUUCUGCAAGUCAGUGAUGCAUCAGACCAUGACCAGAGCGCCUGGAGGAUGAAUACUGUAUGGAGGAGGAAAGGAGGAAAGAGUGGACAGGAGUACCAGCAGAAAAAUGAGAGGGAGAUGCAACAAGACAUAAUGGGCUUCUUUGGCAGAAAACACAGAUGCUGCAGAUCCUUGUGGAUUUACAGGUUCAGCAAUCAUGGACUAGCAUUCCUUUGCAGUCCAUGGAGAACUCCAGUAUAGCACCUCACUACACCCCACCUCAACCUUCCAUGUGGGAUCAGGCGCUACAUUCCUACCCCUACCACUACACUCAGGGGAGCACUAAGGACAAUCACAGCUUUACAUAUACUGACCUGUGAGAGCCACAGUUUAUGUAUGUGUAGCUAAAAUGGAUAUGAAUGUUCCUUCCCCUUCUUUAACUUCAGUUCCAUACAUUUAUGAAGGUUCUAAAGUAUCUGCUUUUAACUUGCACCGAAUUUUUUUUUAAGUGUUUAUGUUACUCAAUGAAAUUCUAUUGUUUGGGAAAUAAUUCAUGGUAUUAGUUCUCAACAUAUGCUGCAGAAUGCUUAGCAGUAGCGAAUCCACUUACUUUCUUGCUACUGUACAAUGUGAGAACUCAUAGGAUCAGUGACAGAACCAUGUAAUAAUCAUAAAUGUACACCAAGCACCACAAAAUUAAUAGGUGCAUUGUCAAUGUCAUAUGCUUAGAUGUACUUCAAGCACCACACAAUUCAUAACAGGCCCCCAAACAGCAGGGCCACAUA